CAACGAAGGCCUCAAGGGGGUCUGAAUAUCCACUUGCAGACUUUACAAACAGAGUGUUUCCUAACUGCUCUAUGAAAAGAAAUGUUAAACUCAGUGAGUUGAAAGCACACAUCAUAAAGGAGUUUCUGAGAAUCAUUCUAUCUAGUUUUUAUACGAAGAUAUUUCCUUUUCUACCAUUUACCACAAAGCGGCUGAAAUCUCCACUUGCAAAUUCCAGAAAAAGAGUGUUUCAAGUCUGCUCUGUGUAAAGGAUCGUUCAACUCUGUGAGUUGAAUACACACAACACAAGGAAGUUACUGAGAAUUCUUCUGUCUAGCAUA
rnacentral:lncRNA from 1 species